rnacentral:tRNA from 1 species
GCCGAUAUAGCUCAGUUGGUAGAGCAACGCAUUCGUAAUGCGUGGGUCACGAGUUCGAGUCUCGUUAUCGGCUCCA